GCGCUUGGUCUUUGGUGUUGUUCACGCUGAAGAAGAGAUCCAUUGCACACUCUCGCUCGCUCGCUGCGAGUUCAUGUUAUUGUUAAUCUGAAAAAAAGUAGUGUAUCCCCAUCGCCGAGGCGAAUGCAACAAGAUGCCGAGAAUGGAGGACAUUCUGAACCUUCCAGUGCAAGACCCUCUUUGUUCUGAAUUUUCUGCUGCUCAUAUAAAUUGGGUUAAAUUGGAAGGUGGUCGCCAAGGUGGUGAUGAUAUUGCUCUUAUUCCUUUCGCCAGAGUUGAUGAUUUUGUAAAAGGGGAAUCUUCUAACCCCGAAUGCCCUGCUAGCUUUCGCAUUGAAUCAAGAAGGAAGAGACCUGUUGGAAGCAUUGCCAAACCAAGGGUUGAUGGCUAUCUUGAAUAUACACUAUAUUGGUGUUCUUACGGUCCUGAAGACUACCGAGAGAGUGACUCGGGUGUAGGGGAUGGCACGAGCACCAAACCUGCUUCUGGGAAGGGAAGCAGGCCGGGGAGGCGUCACAUGAUGAGAGGAUGCCUUUGCCAUUUUACUGUUAAGAGAUUGUACACCCGACCGCUACUUGCACUAAUCAUUUAUAACCAAAGAAGGCAUGUAGAUAAAUCAGGGGCACCAUGUCAUGGAUUACUUGACAGGGAUGCCGUAGGGACGAGAGCUAUGUAUGCUCUGCGAAUUUCAGAUGAGUUGCGUCAGAAAGUGAUGUCUAUGCUUUAUGUUGGAAUAACUAUGGACAAUAUAAUACAACAUCAUGCAGAGGUGAAGCAGAAGCAAGGUGGGCCCCAAAACCGUGAUGAUUUUCUCACUCGAAAUGAUGUGCGUAACAUGGAAAGGACUAUUCGAAAUUCUUCACAUGAGCUACAUGUAAAUGAUGAAUGCAGUGUAAAGAUGUGGGUUCAGCGCCAUCAGAAGCAUGUUUUUUAUUUCCAAGACAGUUCAGAAUCAUUUGUGUUGGGUUUACAGACAGAUUGGCAACUGCAACAAAUGCUUCGUUACGGAAAUAAUAGUUUCAUUUCUUUUCAUUCAAAUUUUGGCUCGAAGAAGCUUAAGUAUCCCAUAUGUUCUUUACUUGUUUUCGAUUCAUCAAAAAAUUCAAUUCCUGUUGCUUGGAUCAUCACCUCAUCUUUUGUUGGUAAAGAUAUUCAUAAAUGGAUUGUAUUGCUAUCUGAAAGAUUACGAACCAAGGACCCAAGAUGGAGGCCUAAUGCUAUUUUGUUGGAUGAUCCUUCUUUUGACUAUUCUAUCAUAAGAGAGGCUUUCCAAUGUCGCAUCCUGUUAUGUACCUGGCAUGUUCGCCGUACUUGGAUAAAAAAACUUUUCAAGAAAUGCUGCAACUUUGAGGUGCAGCGCGAGAUGUUUAGGCACCUGGGAUGGAUUAUGUACUGUACAAGAUGUGGGCCUAAUGCUAUGGAUGCAGUUGAAGAGCUUACGCAAAUAUUUGUUGACCAGUGUGCCUUCAUGGACUAUUUCAAGGGCCAUUGGCUAGCUAGUAUAGAUAUGUGGAUUAAUGCCAUAAAAUCACUCCCUAUGACAACUCCCGAGCCACAUGCUGCAAUAGAAUCGUAUCACCUAAAAUUAAAAUCCAUACUUUUGAAGGAGAAUUAUGCUAAUUUCUGGCUAAGAAUUGACUGGUUAAUCCACACUUUAACUACUGAAUUUCACGCAUUAUACUGGCUAGAUCACUACAGUUUAGAGACUGGGUGUUUUGAGAAUCAACGGGACAAUUCUUUCUCCUCUAAUGCUUGGUAUCACGCUCUUCAUAUUCCAGAUGUUGAUGUGAUACUGGAUGAGCAAAAUCUCCAUCUUGCCAAAGUCUUAUCCCAGACUGACAGAAGCCUGGUGUAUACAGUUUGGAAUCCUGGUUCAGAAUUUUCACUUUGUGAUUGUUCCUGGUCUAGGCUGGGAAACCUCUGUAAACAUGUCAUCAAGGUGGCAAUUUUCUGUAGAAGUCGACAAGUUGCAAGACCAUUAUUGUCUGCUCAAGUUUAUAAACAGGCUUUGCUCACCCUUCUCCAUAAUCCUCCUGAUGAUCCUUUAGUUCUUGACCAUGCCAUUUUACAUGUGGCCCGUUUGCAACAAGACAUUAAGGCCUUGGAAGACUUGUCCAAUAGUGGAUUGCUCCAGCCCAUAGCUCCUGAUAUAAGUUCUCAAAUGGCUGAGAAUUCUCUGCUUUUUCAGCGCAUCCAGUGACUAGCUCAUUUUGAAAAUACAUUGACUGUGUUCGCGUUAAGCUCAUUCUUAUGGUUAUCCACUUGAGGCUAUUUCAUGAUCCUUGAGCAAUCAAGUUGCAAGAAUCAAAAGGAUAGAAAUUUUCUUUUAGGAAGGUUCCACGGCUAUUCAGGUCAUGAAAGCUCAACACUCUUUUUGCAGAAUUACACUGAAGGUGGAGUUUGACCUAUGAUUAUUGGAGGUUUGAGGUGGCGUCUCUAUAGCAUAUUUUGAGGCUGUUAUCUGGCAGGCACAAUAUACCAUCAGAUGCUUUCACCCCUUGGAGGGGUAGGAUGAACUGCAGGGUGCCAAAAGAAAUGAGAAUGGGAGGAACAAAGCACUCGGGGAUCGUAUUGUGGUUCAUUACAUGAGUUGAGGCUUCAAGGUGUUUUGAAGAUCAAACCAUCAUGCAGUCAGUUGAUUGUAAUUGUUUUUUGUAUCAGCAUGCCCUGCUGAGGGUAGUCGAAAGAAUUAAAGGACAUCUUGGCUUUUGUGCCGAAAACGCCAAUUGAGUGGUGGGUGCAUGGCACCUGCUUGGAGCCAUUCAUCUUGCGCACUAGACCAAUGCGAACUAAAUAGUUGAAUUGGUACUUUCAUUAAAUUUGAUGUUUGAUUCCCCCAUAUGGUAUUUGUGGUUUUAUCAAGUCCCAGUUGAUUAGAUGAUUUUCAGGUCGUGAUUAUUGAAGGAGCAGAUAUUCAUGUGGUUCCCAGGCAUCCCGUCAUUUCAGUUAUGGUGUCUCUUGGGGUAAGAUACACAGGUGAUAUAAAUCGUUGGAUGCCACAUAAUAAAAGGUGAAAAAAAAUGUCAAUAAAGACGUGUGCGUAGAAAUCGAGCCAAUCUACCCCUUCUUAAGUUCAACCAGAACAUCAUCAGAAGAGAUAUUACUAUCUCAAAAAAAAUAAAUAGAGACUUCCACGGUUGAGGUAUCAACCAUUUGUAUAGCCGAGAUCGGUUGAAAUUUUAUUAAUAGUACUAUCACUGUAAAUCUAGUCUCUUUUAGUGUAAAGUAACAAUGAGAUAAAUUUUGGUAAAGAUUAGGAUAAAUAACUUUUGUAAAUUAAAAAACUAACUUAAUUUUUUUUAAAUUUUAAAGACUAAAAUAUUUGACUUGUACUGAUUCAGAAUUAUUUGAAGGCUUGUUUUAUAACACAAUUGCACAUCACGCCGUCCAAAAGGUUUUCUAUAUCACUAUGCUCGUCAUAGAUAUGGCCCAGAAUAAUAUCUCGGACGCAAUUGCUUAACAUAAUCUGUUGUCCGGCCUAAAACAUCACAAACUUUUGUCGUUACAGUAAGAAACAAAUCCAAGUAUGAUUGAAUUUUUUUUUCGGACGGUAAGUAUGAUUGUAUUUAUUACCACCUAUACUCAAAAGUUUAUUAAGGUUUUCUGAAGUUACCUUGAUGUAAAAUAAAUGGUAAGACGUAAUAGUAAUAAUUCUGACGCAAACCCAAACUAAGACAUUUGUUCUGUAGCCAAUAUAUGAUCUAAUUAUAUCCAUUGAUAGUAAAUUAAUCAAUCACUUCCGUAACGAAUCUGUUGUGUAUCCGUUGGUCCUCUAUCGUGACAAAUUUUGAUACUCGGUGAUCCACGUAGCAGCUCGUAAAAUUACGUAGCAAUGCUUGACACAUAAGUCUUACACAGUGAUUGACACAUUCAGUAAUUUAUUCGAUAAAAUCUUACAAUGAUUGACACAUUCUUUAAUUAUUUUCUCGAUUCAUAAAAGCCAUCUUUGUCACGAAACCCAUUAUUGAGAACAUGAUAAGCAAAAACUUUCCACUUGGCGCACAUAGGCACUUCCUCUUUUGGCCUCGUCAAGUCGCCAAGCUAGAUUUCAGCGAUUAACGAAGGAAAGCAACUAUAAUGAUUAUAUUAAGAAUAAAAAACCAAUUAGAUUUAACUUCGAUUCCAUUAAACAUAUGAUCUACAGAAAAUAGAUAAUUAUGCAACAACCGAAGUGCUUAUGCUUUGCUGCCACGUAUGUUCUAGACGCUCACAUGGUAAAUUCCAUGUAUCUUCUGUUUAUUUAUAAUUACUUUACAAGAGAUAAGCUUUGAAAUCUAAUGAAUGUUUAGAAAGCGAAAGAAAGGUUUAUAUCGGAGAACCGUACCUUGUCUUGAUCUGAUGACUUAUAAAGAGUAGCAAAAUAUUACAUUCUUUUAAACAUGUUCUAAUUUAAAAUCGAUGUGAAAUAUUUU